rfam:Lepisosteus oculatus linkage group LG4, whole genome shotgun sequence.
GCCAGUAGCCAUAUCGCCCUGCAACUCGCAACUUACAACCCACUAAAGUUCAGCAGGUGUGAGCCUGGUCAGUACCUGGAUGGGAGACCUCCUGGGAAAAACUAAGGUUACUGCUGGAA